rnacentral:lncRNA from 10 species
UUUUCCCCAACCUCAGGAGUUAACUCCUCAGUACCUCACAGGAACCUGAAAUCUUUGGAGGAAAAAAAAAUAGUAUUAUUUUAAAAAUUAAAAAUAAUAAAGAUGGCUCUCUAAAGAAACAUCUGAAAUUAGUAGUAACAUGCUGUAAUAUUAUUUUCCAUUGACUGUAGCCAAGGGCCUCUGCUAGCACCCAUGAGAACUUUGUGUUCUUGAGAAUAAGACACCUUUGCUCCAGGGCUUAGUGAGCAGGGCCUGAACUGGAGUUCCCUCCCACCACCUUAACUGAACUCUUCAUGCAGGACACAGCAUGUACAACCUCACAUAGAGUUCCUGACCAGACAAGACUUGCUGGAAAUUUCCCAGGAUCUUCCUUCCUUAAGUUUGAAUAGCUCUCUGGUUCCAGUUUGAAGCUGAAAAGGUUAAAUUCUACCUGAAGGAUGAAAACAACCAACAUUCUGUGCCAAGACAGUCAGGAGGGCAACCAUGUUUCCUGGUGGAGCCUCUGGAACCACUCAAGCCAAGAUGACCGGGGGUUUGGCUGGGAGGAGAUGGGGAAACUACAGACCCUACAGAUGGUUUCCUGUACCAUGAGGUUAAGCCUGGGGGCAGGAGAGGCUGUACCUUAGUUCCUUCAUCUGUAAAAUAAAGUAACAUAGUACCUACCUCAUAAGGGUGUUCUAAUGAUUGAACUUAUUAUACGUAAACUUUGAACAGUUUGUGGCUCAGAUUAUUAUUUCUAGUUUCUCAGAUCAGUUUUUCUGUAUUUUGACCUUGCUUAUUCUUUUGAAUGCUGCUGACAGUUCUCACAUUUCUCUUUAUCCUUUGUUGUCCAGCCAGGUUUUAAAAAGAAGGUGUAGAUCACUAGGGUUUCUUUCCUCUGCUGUUGCAUGAGUAGGAUUAUUUUCCUUCUAGGUCUCUGUAAGAAGAGUUUUGACCGAGAACUUCAUGCACUCUGUUGAAAUGGAGCACAUCUGCUAUAAAACUUCACUUUAGGGGCUGAUGAGCAGGAACUGAAUGUCAAGCUAUAGAUCCCUAAAUAAGGUUGGCUUUCAUAUGCCCUAUAUCCUUUUCAAGAUUUCAGUUAAUAGGGCAUUAAAUGGGAGUAGUGAUGAUACACUAAAGUGGUAGAUAUUGUGAAAAGAAUGUAUAGAGUACAAUAAAAUCUUUACAUAAGUUCUGCACUUGACAAGGGAGAAGAAUCAAUUGCUUAAUUAAAAGUGAAAUGUUUUUAUCACUUUGAGAUAAUGCCCUAGGAUGAUUUUGAAAGUGACAUGUAGUUGACUCUCUAGAAUUGAGAGUAAUUCUAGAAUCAUUAUGAUAUUUUUUUGUGCAUCCUUUAAUUUUAUUUAAUAGGACAAUAGAUUUUUAUUUCCCCCAGGCCGAGGCAAUGGAGUAUCUUUGAGUAAUCUGCAAGCUGGUCCAAAGGGAAUAACAAAGGAGGAAAUAUUCUUCGUAAACAAGCCCUGCAACCCAAAAGUGGAGUAAGAAUUUCCUGUCCCAGUCUUAGGAGAUGGUCAAAAGCUCUGCAUAUUUCUCCACUGAAUUAGAUUUCAUAACUUCCUGUGAUGUCAUUUGCUAUUUUUCCCCUGGCUUGAGUUAGGACUUCCCUUUCAGAGUUUUGUCAACCCAGUUUUCUUUAGACCACUUUAGAAGCAAGAAUAUCUACUACAGAUUCAUGAAAAGAGCACUGAAUAAGAAGUUAGGAUAAGUGGAUUUCUAAGGCCAAUUUUCCUUCUUACAAUUUGACUUCAGAAACGAGUACUCAUACCAAGCUCACAUUUCCUAAAUAAUUCACAUUCUUGAAAGGUAGAAAGAGCUGUCUUACGAAAUGGUGUGUUUCCUGUCAUUGAAAGUAUGCCAAAAGAUGCUUGAAAACCACUUCUUAAGACUCUUGUGCAAUUUUCAUAUAAUAAGAUUAGACUUGAUGGUUCUAUAAAAAAAACUCUCUGAAUCUUGAAACUCAAUGAUUCUGUGCUUUAGUUCUAUGAAGAGAAGAGAAGCAGGGAGGGAAUGAUGAAGGGAUCUAGCAUAUCUAUUCAGCCUUGUGUGGAUUUCAGCCUUGGUCUCUGGAGAUGCUUCAAGCUUCCUAAAGUGGUACUUCUGCCUGUCCAUUCUGACUCC